AUCUUUUGAGACAUUAGAUAUAC
rnacentral:snRNA from 1 species